AAAGACUCUUUCCUCUCUGCCACAGCUUGCUGGGAAAUACAGCCCAAAGUCAAGGUGGAGGAGGUGAAGACAAAUGUUGGAAAUGAACAACCAGUAGUUUUCAUGUCCUGCAGAGAAGGUGGGCCCCAGAGCACAUAUCAUGUGGUGAGAUGGAAAGCUGCCCAAUGAAGAGUUUUCUAGAGCUGGUUGGAUGCCUCAGCCAUGUUCGGUGCACAGCUUCUAUCACACGUCCAGAGCAGUCACUCUGGGUCUUGCUAUUGCCCAACGGUGGAAGGGCCAGAGGUAUGUACGAACAUCCCUUUUUAGGGACAUGUGCUGGAGAUAUGACGUCGCUUCUGCUUAUACCCCAUUGUGCAG
rnacentral:lncRNA from 1 species